rnacentral:rRNA from 1 species
AUUAUUUUAAGAUUAUUUUUUAUUGUUGAAAAAAUUAAAAAUAAAUUGUUUUUAACAAAAAUUAAAAUUUAUAAUAUUUCAUUUUUUGGUUUUUUGUUUUAAAUUAAAAUAAUAAAUAUGGGGGAAAAAAAAAUUUUGUUAUAAAUUAUAUUAGUUUAUUUUAAUUAAAAAUAUUUUUUAUUAAAUUUGUUUUUUUUAUUUUUUUAUAAAAAAUAUUAAUUUAAUUAUUAUUAUUGAGUUUAAUUUAGUUAUUUUUAAAAAAAUUUUGUAUAAAAUAAAUUUGAUAAUAAAUGUUUUUUAAAUUCUUUGGGGGUUUAGUUUAUGAUUUUGUCUGCUCAUUCAUUGUUAAAUAAAAGCACUUUUAGCGUGAUUG